GAAAUGCGAUAAGUAGUGUGAAUUGCAGAAUUCAGUGAAUCAUCGAAUCUUUGAACGCACAUUGCGCCCCUCGGUAUUCCGUGGGGCAUGCCUGUUCGAGCGUCAUCUACACCCUCAAGCUCUGCUUGGUGUUGGGCGUCUGUCCCGCCUCCGCGCGCGGACUCGCCCCAAAUGCAUUGGCAGCGGUUCCUUGCCCCCCUCUUUGCGCAGCACAUUGCCAUUAGAGGCGGCGGCGGCCCGCGUCCAACAAGCUCAACCCCCCCGUCUUUGACCUCGGAUCAGGUAGGGAUACCCGCUGAACUUAAGC
rnacentral:misc_RNA from 1 species